rnacentral:rRNA from 1 species
GAUGAACGCUGGCGGCGUGCCUAAUACAUGCAAGUCGAGCGAAUGGAUUAAGAGCUUGCUCUUAUGAAGUUAGCGGCGGACGGGUGAGUAACACAUGGGUAACCUGCCCAUAGGACUGGGAUAACUCCGGGAAACCGGGGCUAAUACCGGAUAACAUUUUGAACCGCAUGGUUCGAAAUUGAAAGGCGGCUUCGGCUGUCACUUAUGGAUGGACCCGCGUCGCAUUAGCUAGUUGGUGAGGUAACGGCUCACCAAGGCAACGAUGCGUAGCCGACCUGAGAGGGUGAUCGGCCACACUGGGACUGAGACACGGCCCAGACUCCUACGGGAGGCAGCAGUAGGGAAUCUUCCGCAAUGGACGAAAGUCUGACGGAGCAACGCCGCGUGAGUGAUGAAGGCUUUCGGGUCGUAAAACUCUGUUGUUAGGGAAGAACAAGUGCUAGUUGAAUAAGCUGGCACCUUGACGGUACCUAACCAGAAGGCCACGGCUAACUACGUGCCAGCAGCCGCAGUAA